GCCUCCGUGUGUCAAGCCGUCACAGCUGGAGCAGAGAACUUCCAUGGAGCUUGCAAAGAAUGCUCAUUUUCCGAAGGAAAGGCCUUGCUCAGACUGGUCUAUCAGUCAGCCGUGACAGGUGUACAAGGCAACUAAUGUGGAAACUAUGUGAACAUAAGUGGCUGAGACUCCAGAAGGCAGACUGAGAAAAAUCACCAUGUUGUGAAGAGGGAACAUCUGAGCAAUUUAAUCAGACAUAAUACUCAGGCAGGAACAUAAAGGGAAUAUACUAAUGCAUUAUUAUAGGCAUUUUCAGAUAAUAGGGGAGAAAAAGCAGCAGCAGGUCUCAUGUGACCAUUAUGGAAGUUGAGGGCAAACAAGGAAAUGGCAUUAUACGUGGUGGUCUGUGUGCCCAGUUUGUCACUUGAACUUCGUUAGGUUGGACAAAAAGUUUAGCAGGAGGGACCCUCACAAAUUGCUCCAGGGCACAGAGGAAUGGUCUCAAGAGCAGGGAGGGGACCCUUCCAUCCAACACAGGCCAGUGAACCAAGAGGCAACAGAGGGGGUGACCCUACUGGUUGGGGUGAAUGAACCCAGUGACCCGUGGAGGUAGGCAGGGCCAUGUCUGGAACCCAGGACUUCCGUGCCCCGUAGUAAAAGCUAAAGGAAAAGGACAGCAUCCCCAAGUGGUGGGACUGCUGAUGAGUCAGAGCAUUUAGGAAUGAAGGUAUGGGUUACUUCACCAGCGAAUGGUCGUUAAGCAGCUGAGGUUGGGGUUGAAAUCUGGGGAAAUGCAGACGAAGCAGUGGAAAAAGGGAAGAUAAAUGACUCACAGUGCAGUAAGUCAUGGCAGAUACAAACACAGUGGAACACAAAUGGUAAGAUAGGAAUGAGGGGAGGUAGAAGCUAAGCCUUGUGGACACAGUGGACCAAACGAUCUCCAUUUCUGGGAGAUUAAAGAAGACUGUAGCUGGAACAAGCAGUCUCAUUUGGACUCCAAAGAGCAACAGGGCUUCAGGUAAAGAAACUAUCCUCAGAAGCCCUUCUAAAUGUCAAGUCAUGAAAUUUAAAAGGCUUCUCCAACAAUUUUACUAAAUUUUCCAAAGAUGUUCCUAUUUUAAGGACAAGACCAAACUUGACAUUCGUGGUCCAGAAUAACUCCUUAGAGAAAUAAAAAAUGAGAAUUAUUCUGGUUCACAAGUUGCAGACUAUUGGCUUGACUUGGGCCCUGGCAGUGCUGUGCUGGGCCCUGCAGAAAGAAUGGAAGGCAAUAAGGUGCGUCUUCUGUAAGGUGCUGGGGCAGCGCUGUCCAAUUGUCCUAGGCCUUACCACUCCCUGGUGCGUGUCACUUUGCAGGGUCUUUGCUUCACUCAUUAAUUUAACUUCUGGCCUCCCUGUACAUCUGACUUGGUGAUCCUUGUUCUUUAAUGUCUUCUGCACUUUCAACCCUAAAGCCACUAUCAUCAUCCAUAAAAUGUGCUCGUCAGGGACAGGCAGGGACGAGGCCUCUGAUGGAAGGCUGACCUACCUGGACGAUGCGGUCUCCUUCUCGGAUGCGCCCAUCCUUGGCCGCAAUGCUGUUAGGGUCGAUCUGAAACACACACGGACAGGUCAGCAUGGAGUGGAUACUGAAGACACAUAUGAGAAUAAACAGCAGCACUUCUCAAAGGCUGUCUGACACGCAGUCCUGCUUAUCCCUGUUUUUGUUUUGCACAGAAAUAAACAAGACUUGGUGUCAUGCAAGGAGAGGCAAACGUGGAUUAAUCUGUUUCCAAGCCUUUCCUGGGCGGGCACUUGGAUCCCUGCAUGGCCUCCUUGUGACAGGGUGGUGUGCACAGACCCUGCCGACCUGAGGGAUGGAGAGGCACAGCUCACGUUCAUCGCAGGCACCGAAAUGAAAACCAAAGUGUGAUGCAGAACAAGUCAUAUUUAACUUACAUGAGUGCAGCGAUAUACACAGUCAACAAAAAGGAAAAAAUAAAGAAAUACUUUAAAAAGUGUAAAUGAUUCCAUCCACCAUCCCAUUUAAUGGACAUGAGAAAGGAAAUGUGAAUUGCUGUCCCCUCGGGGUUGAACACACAAAACCGUGUAAACGGCUCCAUUUUUUGGCCGAUUUGCAGGCUUCUCAAGUGUAAUUUCGCCUUAUAUGCUGACUGACAUUUGAACUUAACCCCCAUGUAAAGAUGUAACUUCACGGUCUAUGUGAUGAAGGGGAGAAAGACAUUUGGGUCUUUCCAAAGACUUGUCAAUGAGCCAGAGUGAAGGCUGGUUAACAUGUAACAGGAAAAAGCCCAAUAAAGCAAAACCCAAACACC